UCAUAUUAUUUUCCAAAAUGGACAAUGUCAAUGCGUCAUAGGAAUGUUCUACCUUGUUUUGACAUUGGCCACCUUUUUCUCCUUUUAAGGAAAAGAAAAAAGGAGGUUAUGUCAAAACAAGAAUAAAACAUUGAAUGCCUCUGCAAGAUAACAUGUACUUGGAACAUGACAUCUAAAGACCAAUGAGCUGGCAAAUCGUAUCAAGACAAUUAGGAGCAGAUCAAACCGACAGUACCAGUCAUUUAGGCAAUGAUUAGUUACCUUCUCUACAUGAUUAUUUUUUUCUUUGCACAUUUGCUUAUACGUGUAUAUGUCAGUUCUUAUUUGUAUCAGUUGAGGACAGUCAGUCUCACGGCUUGUUGUGUGAGACACAUGUAUUUUAUUUAAGUCAAUAAGAAUUACAAUUUUCAAAAAGAUGGUAAAAUAUUUUAUGUUUCA